GGGAGGCGGAGCGGCGGCGAAGAGCGGCGAGGAGCGGCUGAAGGAGAUGGAGGCCGAGAUGGCGCUGUUCGAGCAGGAGGUUUUGGGGGCUCCAGGCCCCGCCCCUGGGGACCCGCUGGCCCCGCCCCCCAUCCUGCAGCCAAUCAUCUCCACCAACACCUACCAACAGGUCCAGCAGCCC